rnacentral:rRNA from 1 species
GACGUAGGGCGCGAGCGUUGUCCGGAUUUAUUGGGCGUAAAGAGCGUGUAGGCGGCCAGGUAGGUCUGCUGUGAAAACUCGAGGCUCAACCUCGAGACGUCGGCGGAAACCAUCUGGCUAGAGUCCGGAAGAGGAGAGUGGAAUUCCUGGUGUAGCGGUGAAAUGCGCAGAUAUCAGGAAGAACACCCGUGGCGAAGGCGGCUCUCUGGGACGGUACUGACGCUGAGACGCGAAAGCGUGGGGAGCGAACAGG